UCCACAUCUGUGAAAUGAAAUUGAUGCUACUGUUUAUGGCAUAGGUUUAUUGGGAGAAUCAAAGGAUAUAAUGCCUGGGACAUAAUUAGCACGUGAUAUGGGCAGUCCUGUUUAUAUCUCCCCUCCCUGUGAUCUAGGACUAAAGACUCUCUUAGUAAAUUCUCCCAUGGUUUCCCAUGGCAGUUCUGGCCAACUUCAGCUCUGUUCAACUCCAAGGAUGCCGGGAAAGCCCUAUUUUCCAGGAGUUUUCCUUCCAAAGUGUCCUCACUUGAUGGAAAUUUCUUAACUCCAAAAAGAGCUCUUGGGGCCAGGCACAAUAGCUCACACCUGUAAUCUCAGCACUUUGGGAGGCUCAAGCAGGUGGAUCACUUGAGGCCAGGAGUGUGAGACCAGCCUGGCCAACAUGGCGAAACCCCAUCUCUACUAAAAAUACAAAAAUUAGUCAGGCAUGGUGGUGAGCGCCUGUAACCCCAGCUACUCAGGAGGCUGAGGCCGAGAAUUGCUUGAACCUGGGAGGUGGAGGUUGCAGAGAGCCAAGAUCACACCACUGUACUCUAGCCUGAGCAACACAGCGAGACUCUGUCUCAAAAACCAAAAACUAACCAAACAAAAAAACCUUACCAGUUUUCACACAGGUACACACAGGUAGUAAGUAAUAGAGCUGGAUUUAAAUACAGGCAAUCUCCUUAUAAAAUCAGCAUGAUGUGGGGGUGGACAGAGGGAGGUGGCAUUAAGCAGUUUAAAAUUUGACUUGAUAAGGCUGGGGAUACCAUGCUUAGCCUGUGGUGAAAGUAUAGAAAGGAUGAAACUAGUUCUGGAGGGUUCUUGCUUUCUAGGGCAAUAGCCAUCCUUGAAAUUAUUCUAACAUUUGAUCACUUGUCUUAGUGUGCCACUUCAAGUCACCUCUCACUUUUUCUCCCAUUGUUCCUGCAGGUAGAUCAUGUCCUGUUUCAGUAGGGAUGAUAUACCUGUGCCAAUUCACCUGUGCUAUUUAGAACAGACACUUUCUGCCAAGUGUACCACCCCACACCUUGCCAGACUGCUCCACCCAAAAAGCAGGGCCUGGGGUGGGUGACCCACAUAAGGUGGCGACUCCUAAACCUAAUAAUAACUCCUACCCUGUGGGGUCAACUAUUUUGUGUUUGUUCAUGGCCCCAAGCCCCACCCCAUAAAUUUGACAUCACUUUUUCCAUAGCAAAUAGUAAUCUUCAAAUGGAAUAAGGCAGGAGCUGCGAGUCCCACAAGAGGCAGCCAGAUGAGACCAACAUGUUCCUUAAACAAUGGACACAGUGGUGUGGUGCACUGCAAGCCUGUGUCUUAUGUUCCAGGUGACUUCCAUGUCUCAACCCGUGGUUCCUCCACUAACAAGGAAUGAGAAAAACUUGCCACUAUGGAAACGUGGCAAUAUGCCACAAUAUCACAUGUCCUAAGAGAGUAGGUAUUUAUAUAGAUAGACGUAACUCUCAUUGUAAAGUUAAGAUGUAUUAAUGCAACCCUGCAUCUGGAGCACGUGCUCAUCCUCAACAUUUCAAAGUAAGUAUUUGGACUUCAGUUCUCUUUGGAAUUUACAAUAGACUCUGGAGUGUUGCUCUCAUUUGUUGUAGGCAGUUCUCACUGAGUGCCCAGGAUCAGUUUCCUGGGCCACCUACAUGUGCAUUGAGAUGCUGAAUACAAGCUCCUUAAGGUCAGGGCCCUGUAUUGUAACAAGUGCAUAGGGUCUUACACAUAGUAGGUGGCUAUGUGUAUAGAUGAACAGGAUGACAUAGUGCUACUUAAGAGAGAAUGGAAUCCACAGGAUAGGUUCUAUCUAAACACAUUUAAGGGCAUUCUGUUCCUGGAAGUCCUAAAAGGAUAUUAACGCAUCCUUGACUUCACAUCUCAAAGUGUGAUCUCCUGACCAGCAGCAGGACAUCACCAGGAGCCUGUUAGAAAUGCAGAAUCUGCCUCCACUCCAGGCCUUUUGAGUCAGUGCCUUCAUUUGAACAAGAUCUCCAGGUUGGCUGGGCAUGGGGCUGUAAUCCCAACACUGUGGGAGGCCG
rnacentral:lncRNA from 10 species